rnacentral:rRNA from 1 species
GAUGAACGCUGGCGGCGUGCCUAACACAUGCAAGUCGAACGGGGUUACACGAGUAGCAAUACUUGUGCAACCUAGUGGCGGACGGGUGAGUAACGCGUGAGCAACCUACCUUCCAGAGGGGGAUAACACAGGGAAACCUGUGCUAAUACCGCAUAAAGUACAGUGGGGGCAUCCCUGCAGUACCAAAGGAGCAAUCCGCUGGGAGAUGGGCUCGCGUCCGAUUAGGUAGUUGGUGGGGUAACGGCUCACCAAGCCGACGAUCGGUAGCCGGACUGAGAGGUUGGCCGGCCACAUUGGGACUGAGACACGGCCCAGACUCCUACGGGAGGCAGCAGUGGGGAAUAUUGGGCAAUGGGCGGAAGCCUGACCCAGCGACGCCGCGUGAGGGAAGACGGCCUUCGGGUUGUAAACCUCAGUUAUACGGGACGAAGGAAGUGACGGUACCGUAAGAGAAAGCCACGGCUAACUACGUG